rnacentral:rRNA from 1 species
UGGGGAAUAUUGGACAAUGGGCGAAAGCCUGAUCCAGCCAUGCCGCGUGUGUGAAGAAGGUCUUCGGAUUGUAAAGCACUUUAAGUUGGGAGGAAGGGCAGUAAGCGAAUACCUUGCUGUUUUGACGUUACCGACAGAAUAAGCACCGGCUAACUCUGUGCCAGCAGCCGCUGUAAUACAGAGGGUGCAAGCGUUAAUCGGAAAUACUGGGCGUAAAGCGCGCGUAGGUGGUUCGUUAAGUUGAAUGUGAAAGCCCCGGGCUCAACCUGGGAACUGCAUCCAAAACUGGCGAGCUAGAGUAGGGCAGAGGGUGGUGGAAUUUCCUGUGGAGCGGUGAAAUGCGUAGAUAUAGGAAGGAACACCAGUGGCGAAGGCGACCACCUGGGCUCAUACUGACACUGAGGUGCGAAAGGGUGGGGAGCAAACAGG